UUUACAUUUCGAAGGGGAAAUAAUGCCCACUAAUACAAGGCAAUAAAGCCGGUGAUUAGUAUUUUAUCUGGCUUUAUUUUGCUGAAACAUUCCAAUUAUGCAUGCAGGCAUACAUUUGCAAAAAAUUUAAUGUAUUUGAAACGAAUUACUAUUUAUUUGUGCAUACAGUGCAGUUCUGCGUUGAAUUCCAUUUUGCAGUAUACGCAUAAAAACGAACGGUAUUUUUGCAAAUAACUGAUAAGCGAAUUAUUGGAAAUUAAAGGAAAAUUGUUAUUGUUUUUGUUAGCCUUCAAUGCGAUGCGCAUAUUUGUUCUCAGCUUCUUAGGUUGAGCGCCCACAGGCUCGCCCAUAGGCGUUGUUUCCGCGGGCGUUAUUGCACUCCAGCCUAAAAUGCAGUAAACCAAACUUUACAGAUGACUAAUUGUUUCUGAAAUGGAAUGAAAAUUCGGGGCGAUUUGUUAAAAUACCGCUUAUACUGGCGAUAUUUUUUGUUACGGGUAACUGACUAACAUUAUUUAACAGAAAAUAAUUCACACUUGAAGCGGUCGGUUUGGCUGGCCGCUACUAGGUAACCCCAAAUUUCCAUACACGUUAAGCCCUCGCGGGAGAUCUGUUAGGAGAUAUCGCCUGCGAUUUGCGAUAAGCGAUCACCACGAGUGAUUCAUCUUCGAAAAUGUAUCGCUGAAUGCUAUGGAGAAGCGAGGAAAGGUAAGUGGCAUA